rnacentral:snRNA from 1 species
AUAUUUACUUCGGCAAUACAUAUACUAAAAUUGAAACGAUACAGAGAAGAUUAGCAUGGCCCUGCGCAAGGAUGACACACAAAUUUGUGAAGCGUUUCAUAUUUUA